GUGGCCAAGUUUUUAAGGGCGCACGGUGGAUGCCUUGGCACCAGGAACCGAUGAAGGACGUGGGAGGCCACGAUAGGCCCCGGGGAGUCGUCAACCAGGCUUUGAUCCGGGGGUGUCCGAAUGGGGAAACCCGGCAGUCGUCAUGGGCUGUCACCCAUACCUGAACACAUAGGGUAUGUGGAGGGAACGCGGGGAAGUGAAACAUCUCAGUACCCGCAGGAAGAGAAAACAACCGUGAUUCCGGGAGUAGUGGCGAGCGAAACCGGAUGAGGCUAAACCGUAUGCGUGUGAGACCCGGCAGGGGUUGCGUAUACGGGGUUGUGGGAGUGUGCUUGAUCGGUCUGCCGGCCGGUCGGAGAGUCAGAAACCGUUGAUGUAGGCGAAGGACAUGCGAAAGGUCCGGCGUAGAGGGUAAGACCCCGUAGUCGAAACAUCAGCGGCUCUCUUGCGUAUUUCCCAAGUAGCACGGGGCCCGAGAAAUCCCGUGUGAAUCUGGCGGGACCACCCGCUAAGCCUAAAUAUUCCCUGGUGACCGAUAGCGGAUAGUACCGUGAGGGAAUGGUGAAAAGUACCCCGGGAGGGGAGUGAAAUAGUACCUGAAACCGUGUGCCUACAAGCCGUGGGAGCGUCGGAAUGUGCUUGCACAUUCUCGUGACUGCGUGCCUUUUGAAGAAUGAGCCUGCGAGUUUGCGGUGUGUUGCGAGGUUAACCCGGGUGGGGUAGCCGUAGCGAAAGCGAGUCCGAAUAGGGCGUUUCAGUAGCACGCUCAAGACCCGAAGCGGAGUGAUCUAGCCAUGGGCAGGUUGAAGCGGAGGUAAGACUUCGUGGAGGACCGAACCCACCAGGGUUGAAAACCUGGGGGAUGACCUGUGGUUAGGGGUGAAAGGCCAAUCAAACUCCGUGAUAGCUGGUUCUCCCCGAAAUGCAUUUAGGUGCAGCGUCGUGUGUUUCUUGCCGGAGGUAGAGCACUGGAUAGGCGAUGGGCCCUACCGGGUUACUGACCUUAGCCAAACUCCGAAUGCCGGUAAGUGAGAGCGCGGCAGUGAGACUGUGGGGGAUAAGCUCCAUGGUCGAGAGGGAAACAGCCCAGAGCAUCGACUAAGGCCCCUAAGCGUACGCUAAGUGGGAAAGGAUGUGGAGUCGCAGAGACAACCAGGAGGUUGGCUUAGAAGCAGCCACCCUUGAAAGAGUGCGUAAUAGCUCACUGGUCUAGUGAUUCCGCGCCGACAAUGUAGCGGGGCUCAAGCGUACCGCCGAAGUCGUGUCAUUGCAGUAAUACUCCCAACGGAGGCUGUGAUGGGUAGGGGAGCGUCGUGUGCCGGGUGAAGCAGCGCCGGAAGGCAGUUGUGGACGGUUCACGAGUGAGAAUGCAGGCAUGAGUAGCGAUUCACACGUGAGAAACGUGUGCGCCGAUUGACUAAGGGUUCCUGGGUCAAGCUGAUCUGCCCAGGGUAAGUCGGGACCUAAGGCGAGGCCGACAGGCGUAGUCGAUGGAUAACCGGUUGAUAUUCCGGUACCCGCUGUGAAGCGUCAAACAUCGAACCAGGCGAUGCUAAGUCCGUGAAGCCGCCCCGGAGCCUUCGGGCAAAGGGGAGUGGUGGAGCCGACGGACCAGACCUGUAGUAGGUGAGUGAUGGGGUGACGCAGGAAGGUAGUCCAGCCCGGGCGGUGGUUGUCCCGGGGUAAGGGUGUAGGCCGGUGUGUAGGCAAAUCCGCACACCUUGUGGCUGAGACCUGAUGCCGAGCCGAUUGUGGUGAAGUGGAUGAUCCUAUGCUGUCGAGAAAAGCCUCUAGCGAGUUUCAUGGCGGCCCGUACCCUAAACCGACUCAGGUGGUCAGGUAGAGAAUACCGAGGCGUUCGGGUGAACUAUGGUUAAGGAACUCGGCAAAAUGCCCCCGUAACUUCGGGAGAAGGGGGGCCACACCUGGUGAUGGGCUUUACGUCUUGAGCUGGGGGUGGCCGCAGAGACCAGCGAGAAGCGACUGUUUACUAAAAACACAGGUCCGUGCGAAGCCGUAAGGCGAUGUAUACGGACUGACGCCUGCCCGGUGCUGGAACGUUAAGGGGACCGGUUAGCUUGGAUUCGUCCAGGCGAAGCUGAGAACUUAAGCGCCAGUAAACGGCGGUGGUAACUAUAACCAUCCUAAGGUAGCGAAAUUCCUUGUCGGGUAAGUUCCGACCUGCACGAAUGGCGUAACGACUUCUCGACUGUCUCAACCAUAGGCCCGGUGAAAUUGCACUACGAGUAAAGAUGCUCGUUUCGCGCAGCAGGACGGAAAGACCCCGGGACCUUUACUACAGUUUGAUAUUGGUGUUCGGUUCGGCUUGUGUAGGAUAGCUGGGAGACUGUGAAGCUUGGACGCCAGUUCAGGUGGAGUCGUCGUUGAAAUACCAGUCUGGUCGUGCUGGAUGUCUAACCUGGGUCCGUGAUCCGGAUCAGGGACAGUGUCUGAUGGGUAGUUUAACUGGGGCGGUUGCCUCCUAAAGGGUAACGGAGGCGCCCAAAGGUUCCCUCAGCCUGGUUGGCAAUCAGGUGUUGAGUGUAAGUGCACAAGGGAGCUUGACUGUGAGACCGACGGGUCGAGCAGGGACGAAAGUCGGGACUAGUGAUCCGGCGGUGGCUUGUGGAAGCGCCGUCGCUCAACGGAUAAAAGGUACCCCGGGGAUAACAGGCUGAUCUUCCCCAAGAGUCCAUAUCGACGGGAUGGUUUGGCACCUCGAUGUCGGCUCGUCGCAUCCUGGGGCUGGAGUCGGUCCCAAGGGUUGGGCUGUUCGCCCAUUAAAGCGGUACGCGAGCUGGGUUUAGAACGUCGUGAGACAGUUCGGUCCCUAUCCGCUGUGCGCGCAGGAGUCUUGAGAAGGGCUGUCCCUAGUACGAGAGGACCGGGACGGACGAACCUCUGGUGUGCCAGUUGUCCUGCCAAGGGCAUGGCUGGUUGGCUACGUUCGGGAGGGAUAACCGCUGAAAGCAUCUAAGCGGGAAGCCUGCUUCGAGAUGAGGACUCCCACCCACUUGAUGGGGUAAGGCUCCCAGUAGACGACUGGGUUGAUAGGCCGGAUCUGGAAGCACCGCAAGGUGUGGAGGUGACCGGUACUAAUAGGCCGAGGGCUUGUCCUC
rnacentral:rRNA from 1 species